UUAAAAGUGUCAUGUUUAUCCUUAUUUUUGUUUCAUAUUUUUCUGAACAUUUUUCUUCUUCAUUGAUUUAUAAAUUUAACUUUUUGUCUCCUCCUGAGGGCAGUUUGUGAGGAAAUUCACCUGGCCGAUGAACCGAUAAGGAGUGAUGUAGGAAUGAAAAGAGGAAAAUGAGGAGAAGAAUGAUGUAUUUUAGCGCCACAUUGAAUUCUCCAUGACGGCAUCAUUGAGUGGCUUCUUGAUACUGUAAGUACUACUCAUGACGGCCGACGUGGUGGCCAUGAGUGUUGAUCCAAUGAUCGAUUGCGUGUGGAUAGCCAAAAUGUUUUUCUUGUCAUUGUCAUGCAUCACCAGCAAGAGGUGUGCUGAAAACAUAAUUUAAGUAAACAAUGUUAUCCUCUAUUUGAUAUGUUAAACUUUUAGACGAGAUAGUCUUGUAGACACACACGAAGGAAAACUUAUAAUCUAGUUGACUUUAGUUUUUAUUGUAUUUUGGGGCAUUUUUCUCCAAUUAUUGCAUGUAUUUUCCCCGUAUACGUCUCUCUUAAACAAUGAAUAUUUGAGAAAAAGAGACACUGAGUGAAUGUGUAUACACACACAAGCAUUUCGAGCAUUUGUCUAAAGUAUUUUCCUCUGUAAGAUUCUGACUACAUAGAAUAAUAUCCAAAGAUUUUUUAUUUUAUUUUAGUGGAUGCACCAUCCUUUAACUAAAAUGGUAUUUGCAGUAUAAACCAGCACAUUUCGUGCAUGAUGAGAAAAAAUAAUCUGAUAAUGUUCCUUAUAAAAGCUUGAAGAAUACAAAUUGGAUAAGGAGGAGAAAGAUUAGGAUUUGUGCCAUUUUUUUAUGCGUAUAGAUAAUAUUAAAAUUAAAAUUUUAUCCAGUUUUUAAUAUAUCAUAUACCAAACAUGUGGAAUAAUCAUUUCGACAUGACUUAAAAGAAUAAGAUUCGCCAAGAAGCUUAGGCAGUUUUUGCAUAUUAGAAACAAUCCCACUUCUUUGAAAACUAUACAUUUUUUUGGCGUGUUAGAUAAACUAGAUUAGAUACUAGCCCAUAGAAUUAAAUAAAAAGUGGGUCAUCUCAUUUAUUCAUUAAAGUUUGAUGUCAUGAAUUUUAUAAUUAUGUAUAGAAACCAUUUUUUUAAUUCAAAUUUUUUUUGAACUGUUGCCCGACACGAAUUUCAUAUGAUUUUUAUAAUUUUUGAUUUUUGACAGAAACCAUUUGAACGGGUAGAGUUUCUACUUAAAUAAUUUCUGUCACCCAAAAAAAAGGGUAGAGUGUCCACUUAAAUAAUUUCUAUUGAAUGGUUAAAAUUUGAGCUUAAUGAUUAGCGACAGUUAAACUCGACAUCUGUGAUUAGUUCACAUGAUCAUUGAAGAAUAUGAUACUUAAGUUAGAGAGAAUAAUUAGAAGGACAAAAUGAACAUUUAUGUUUAUACCUAAUUAUCGAAUCUCAUAUGAGAAUAAAAUACAUAUACUGCGGGUCAGGGAAAAAAUAUUACAGAUUUAUUGACUUCUUUGAUCUUAUAUAUUCCAAGAGUUCAUUUUUUUGCAUUUAGUAAAAAAACAAAAACUAAUAAUUAGAUUGGAUGGUGUAAAGUCGACUUGACAGAAUCUAAUCAUUGGAGUUUAGAUAAUUUAUGUCCGAUCACUCCUGUGAUAGCUCUAUAAAAUAUUGUAAUUUAAUUACGGUAAUUAUAAUAGUUUUGGGUUUAAUUGUAAUUACAAUAAAAUUUUGUAUUUAGUUAUAAUUGUUUUAAAAAUUAUAACUUAAUUAUAAUUGUGAUUAAAGUUAUAGAACUACACAUACAAUUAAGUAUAACCUAAUUUGAUGUGAACUUUAAUUAAAACUCCUAUUUGGAUUUUAAUUAAAACUAAUAUUUGAAUGUGAAAUCAUUAUUGUACAAGGAUUGAAUAGCAAUUAUAAUACAUAAUUUCAUGGUAUUCAAAUUUGAAGAGAGAAAAGAGAGAAAAUAGUAAUUUUCUUAUCUUAUUCAGUUGUCCAAUUCAAUAAUUAGUUUCUUGAUUAGAUUAAAAUAAGCUGCCCAUCCCUUAGCAUAGUCUUGACUUUGGAGAAUACCAUAGAAAAUUUGGAUGUUUGAAAUAUCAAGUUCUUGGCAUUAAAAAGUUGAAAGCUUGGGAUCCAAAAGACUGGAAGUUCACAAUUCGAGUACGAGAGCUCACUCCCUCAAUGAGUCUAUCCUGCUUCAGGAAUUGAUAUAAGAAUUGAUCAUUUAGGUUUAAAAAAUAAAAAUAAAAAUUGAAUUCUUUAUUUUUGAUAUAACAUAUAUGUGAACAUCUAGACGAUCUUAUUAAUUGAAUUAAAGAAAUUUCUAGUUUCUUGGUAAUGGUGUUCUCGCAUUCCAACAUUUAGCUUAAUAAAAUAGCUAUUGAAGAUAUGGUAUUAUUAAUAGUUAAGGUUGCAUCUUAAAAGGUGACUUUUAUUAGCAGAACUAGAUCAAUUCUUUAAUUUUGUUUAUUUGUUUCAGUGGGAUAUUAUCCUUCAAAUAGUCGACAAGAUUCUAGCUUGUUUGAGUAAACCAAUAUUGGAAUUUGAAUGCCCGUUUGAGGUUUAGACAGACCAAGCUCUUAUAUGUUAUUUAUUUGUUUCAUCUUUAAUCAAUGUGAUAUACUGUCUAACUUAAGUCUUAGACUCUGUUUGGCAAAAAAAAAAAUUAUAAAUGAUUUUUAAAUUCGGUUAAAUUCAAAAGUUAAUUUCAACCACACAUUCAUUAUUACUACUCAUUAUUAUUCAUAAAUUUUGCAGGACUCACUACUAUUUCUGUUUACUAUUCCAAUUCAGCAACUAUUUAUCAAUUUGCUAAAUGGAGGCUUAAUCGUGGAAUUUAACCACUUGGCCACUUUCUCCUAGCAAGCUAGUUUUAAGAGUGAGUCGUGCCUUGUGUAGUUGUAACAAUUGGUAUCAUAGCAAGCAUUGUUCUACUCAAGAUCCUCACUGCAGACGAGGUGACUUGUGGAGGGCGACUUUCACCAGAAGGUUGGUUUAGUGAUGUCAUCUAGUUGAAAAUAUGGGUUACCAAGAACUCUAAUUCUAGUGUGUCGGAUUGUAAUGACUCUUUUCAACGUAUUGUGUUUCAUAUUUUCAAC
rnacentral:lncRNA from 1 species